UAGCUCAUUUUAAACAGCUAUUAGCUCAUUUUAAACAGUUAUUAGCUCAUUUUAAACAGUUAUUAGCUCAUUUUAAACAGUUAUUAGCUCAUUUAGAGAGUUGUUAGCUCAUUUUAAACAACUGUUAGCUCAUUUUAAACGGCUAUUAGCUCAUUUAGACGGUUAUUAGCUCAUUUUGGACAAUUUGAUUUAUUUCAGAUAACUCCGUUAAUUUUGAACAGAUUUAAAGUUUCUUUUGCUGAUGUCUGAGGACAUUUUGGACCAUUUGUAACCAUUAUUUGUCAGUUAAAGAGCUUGAGCUGAAUCCACAGCUGAACCUGAAUCAUCCUUAAAAACAGCCUUGACUUCAAGAACAAAUGGACUCGGGGACAGUUUGUUCACCAGAGCCAUCAGCGCUCUGAACAACAAGAAAACAUGAACGCAUUAACACGACUGGGAACACGCUUCAUACGUGUAAUCCUGUGCAAUAUUCAUUUCACACUGAAUAAGAUAAGAUGAGAUAGACUUUAUUGAUCUCACAAAGGAGAAAUUUACCGUUACAGGGCUCUUAGGAACAAAAGACAGAGGAGUGCAAAAGUCACAAAAGUGCAAGAACAAGAUAAUAAAUAUAGUAAGAAAUGGUAAAAUAGUAAAAUAUACACGUCUAAGGAUAGAAAACUUUUCUUAAAAUAAGAUAUUGCACAUAGUAACAACUCCACAGUAGUGUUCUACAGUCUGAUGGCAGUGGGGAUGAAGGACCUGUGGUAGCGCUCCUUCUUCCACUGAGGGUGUCUGAGUCUCGUGCUAAAGGAGCUGCUCAGCUCCACUACAGUCCGGUGCAGUGGGUGGGAGCUGUUGUCCAUGAUGGAUGAGAGCUUGGUCAACAUCCUCCUCUCACCCACAUCCAUCACAGAGUCCAGUGGGCAGCCCAGGACAGAGCUGUAAAGUCACUAUCAGGAUUUAAAGCUCCUGUUUUUCUAUAGUUGCCGUUCUUUCUCUUUGUAUUUUAUUCUUUUUUUUUUUUAUUUCUUCAUCGUAUUGUAUUUUUAUUGUAUAUAUUUUUCUAAGCACCAAAUGGAGCAGCGCUCCCAAUGUCAUUGUGUACCCGUUAUACUAUGGCAAUAAAAGCUUUGUAUUCUGUUCUGUUCUGUUCUAUUGUGUCAUUUCCAACAUUUUUUACUUUUUAGUGACAAUCUUUGUCUCGCUAAAAAGGAAGCGUGACGUUUUCUAUUUCUCUGCGGCUGAAUGGAGGCUUUGUGUGAUGUUAAAAUGCUUCUUUCUUCUGAUUUUCUCCUCAUUAAAUCGUCUUCUUCCAGGCUGGUGGCCACCAAAGCCGUCAAACUUUCUCGCAGAGAUUUCCUGACGGUCAACGUUGCGAGCACCUGCAACGACAUCAUGGACUACGUUCUGGAGAGGGUUCCUGCUCCUCAGCCCAGCCUGCCUCGGCCUCGCUUCUCCCUCUACCUGUCCUCCCAGCUGCAGUACGGAGUCGUCCUGGUCUUCCACCGCCAGUGUGACCUCCUGCUGAAGGACCUUCAGACCGUCGUGGGUCAGCUGGCCAGGCAGAAGAUUCCCAAGAAGCUGGAUCUGGACGACGGCAGGAAGCCUCUGCUUGUUCCUGACGCCUUGUUGCAGCUGCAGGAGAAUGAAGGAGCUCAAAGUCCACUGUUUGGAGUCAUGGAGCUGCAGGAGGCGCUGCCGAGUCUGGAGUCACUCAUACAGGCAGCUGAAGAGUUUCUGAGGGAAGCUUCUCUUGAACAUCCAGAAGAUUUAAGUCCAUCUGCUGCUGCUCAGGAUGGAAUCACGGCGUCUCCAGAAUCCAUCACUCUGAAGGAAUCUCCACCGCUUUUCAUCCCGCCUGCAGAGUUUGAUGGAGUGGACUUCAUGGGAGACGAGCAGAGGACCAUCGACCUCCUCCUGGAGCAGCACGAUCACUUCACAGAAGAAGCAGAGCUGGAGAGACCAAAGGAGCCGACGGGAUUCAUCUCAGAGGAACCUGGUCCAUCCACUGAGGAGUCUGCUCAGGAACCAGCUGAGGAACCAGAACCGUCCACUGAGGAACCUGCUGAGGAACCAGUCCUACCCACUGAGGAACCUGGACCUCCAUCAGACCAGCUGACUCCGGUCCCAGCGCCUGAUGUUCCAUCUCCUCCGUCUGCAGCAGAAGCUGGUCGAGGACGACCCGAAGCAGAAGAGGAGGUGAGGACCAGGAGGAGGAGGAGACAGCUGACCUUCUUUGAUCCAGAGACUCAGCUUCCUGAAGAGGAGCAGCAGCAGCAGAUCAGGAACCCUCUGGUCCACACCAGACCUCCAGUCCUGGUUCCUGGUCCAGACCAGAGGAUGAGAUCUGCAGCCGAGCUGCUGGGGAGCCCCUGUGGCUUCCUGCCUCCAGACAUCCAGUUGCUAUGGCAACAGGCUGCCGUCGUCACGCCCAUCCCGGGUUUGGACCUGCGGUUCGGAGAGCAAGGACCCGAGUCCAGCACCGAGUCUGAGAAGGAGCAACAGCCGGAGAUGAUGGAGAUCCCCAUAGAGGAGGAGCAACCACAGGAGAUGGAGAUCUCAGCUCCAGGUGCUCUGCCGCUGGACGCCUCUGACCAACGAGAAGCUUCCAGAGAGAUCUCACCCACCCAGACGUCUGAGAGGGAAGGGUCCAUCGUGUCCAGAUCUGUCUCCACUCUUCAGGACAUCCCAGAGGUGGUGGACGAGGUGGGAGAAGCAGCUGAGUCUCCAGGGUUUCCAGAGUUUCCUGAACACGUGGAGCCCGUCUUCUUCAGCUCCCUUCUGCCACCAAACGUCCGUCGCAAAACCGUCAGCAGAGCCUUCCACCGGCUGCUGGGGACUCUGUCUGCUGGGAGACUCCGUGCCGAGCAGAACGAGGCUUAUGGAGACAUCUUGAUUCUACCUGGAUCCCAACAGAACACCUGAGUCUGGAACAAGGACGUUAGAGGACAUUAGAGCCUCCAGAGUUCAGACCAGAUGUUUCCCAGAGACGACUGGACGGUGGGAGGCGUGACCGCUCUGACAGGUUCUGACAGAUCUGUGAGACGGGUCACCUGAUAAAAAGACACGUCAUUGACACGUCAUCAACACGUCAGAUGACGCUCUGAAGAAGACGGAGUGGAAACAUGUCAGCGAGGUAAACCAUCUUUUCUUGCAGAUUUGUCGUAUAAAAAGCAACGUUAUCCUGUUCUAAUAAACGACAAGAUGAACAUCAUUCAGUUAUUUUUGGCACUUUUUACCGCAUUCUGGGCAACUUUUAGAGACAUUUUAGAAAGUUUCAAGUCAUUCAACAGUUUUCAGCUUAUU